UGGCGAACGGGGGAGUAACGCGUGAGGAACCUGCCUCAAAGAGGGGGACAACAGUUGGAAACGACUGCUAAUACCGCAUAAGCCCACGGGUCGGCAUCGACCUGAGGGAAAAGGAGCAAUCCGCUUUGAGAUGGCCUCGCGUCCGAUUAGCUAGUUGGUGAGGUAACGGCCCACCAAGGCGACGAUCGGUAGCCGGACUGAGAGGUUGAACGGCCACAUUGGGACUGAGACACGGCCCAG
rnacentral:rRNA from 1 species